AAUACCCUGCCUGGCUCGUGGUGGGCCGGUAUCUCUGACCCAACACCGAUUCAAAGGGGAGUUCGGGUCCGGGCAGUGAGCCGAGGUCCCGGGAGGGGAAACGGUGAGCUGUCCGGCAGAGCACCCACCUCGUGAGUACGAGGUCCAGAGAUAAGGCCCGUAACGGCUGAUGGCGGGGUAUUU
rnacentral:other from 1 species